AUUGAACGCUGGCGGCAGGCCUAACACAUGCAAGUCGAACGAGUGGCGGACGGGUGAGUAAUGUCUGGGAAACUGCCUGAUGGAGGGGGAUAACUACUGGAAACGGUAGCUAAUACCGCAUACCAUCGGAUGUGCCCAGAUGGGAUUAGCUAGUAGGUGGGGUAAAGGCUCACCUAGGCGACGAUCCCUAGCUGGUCUGAGAGGAUGACCAGCCACACUGAAACUGAGACACGGGCCAGACGCCGACGGGAGGCAGCAGUGGGGAAUAUUGGACAAUGAGCGCAAGCCGGAUGCAGCCAUGCCGCGGGUAUGAAGAAGGCCUUCGGGUUGUAAAGUACUUUCAGCGGGGAGGCGCUACCCGUAGAAGAAGCACCGGCGACCUCCGUGCCAGCAGCCGCGGUAAGAC
rnacentral:rRNA from 1 species